rnacentral:rRNA from 1 species
CACGGGGGGAGCAAGCGUUGUUCGGAAUCACUGGGCGUAAAGCGCGUGUAGGCGGACCCGCAAGUCGGACGUGAAAUCCCUGAGCUCAACUCAGGAACUGCAUCCGAAACUGCGGGUCUGGAGUGGUGGAGAGGGAAGCAGAAUUCCUGGUGUAGAGGUGAAAUUCGUAGAUAUCAGGAGGAACACCGGUGGCGAAGGCGGCUUCCUGGACACUUACUGACGCUGAGACGCGAAAGCGUGGGGAGCAAACAGG